rnacentral:rRNA from 1 species
GACGAUGCUGCGCUGAAGAGCGGCGAACGGGUGAGUAACACGUAGGUAACCUACCUUAUAGUCUGGGAUAACAACUGGAAACAGUUGCUAAUACCGGAUACGAAAUCAAACCGGCAUCGGAAUGAUUUGAAAGGAGCUUUACAGCUUCGCUAUUAGAUGGACCUGCGGUGCAUUAGCUAGUUGGUGAGAUAACAGCCCACCAAGGCGAUGAUGCAUAGCCGACCUGAGAGGGUGACCGGCCACACUGGGACUGAGAUACGGCCCAGACUCCUACGGGAGGCAGCAGUAGGGAAUUUUCCACAAUGGACGAAAGUCUGAUGGAGCGACGCCGCGUGCACGAAGAAGGUCUUCGGAUUGUAAAGUGCUGUUGUAAGGGAAGAAUAAGUGGGAGAGGAAAUGUUCCCAUGAUGACGGCACCUUACCAGAAAGCCACGGCUAACUAUGUGCCAGCAGCCGCGGUAAUACAUAGGUGGCAAGCGUUGUCCGGAAUUAUUGGGCGUAAAGGGCGUGUAGGCGGAUAUGAAAGUCUGAUGUGAAAUCUCAUAGCUUAACUAUGAACGUGCAUUGGAAACUAUGUAUCUAGAGUGUCGGAGAGGAAAGCGGAAUUCCAUGUGUAGCGGUGAAAUGCGUAGAGAUAUGGAGGAACACCAGUGGCGAAGGCGGCUUUCUGGACGACUACUGACGCUGAGACGCGAAAGCGUGGGGAGCAAACAGGAUUAGAUACCCUGGUAGUCCACGCCGUAAACGAUGAGUGCUAAGUGUUGGAGGCGCAGGUAUUCAAGUGCAAGAAGGUUAACGCCAAUAAGCACUCCGCUUGGGGAGUACGGUCGCAAGGCUGAAUACUCUAAGGAAUUGACGGGGACCCGCUCAAGCGGGAGGAGUAUGUGGUUUAAUUAGAUGCAACGCGAAGAACCUUUCCAACUCUUGACAUACUAAUGAUGUCUUAAGAGAUUAAGAGUUCCCUUUGGGGACAUUGGAUACAGGUGGUGCAUGGUUGUCGUCAGCUCUUGUCGUGAGAUGUUGGGUUAAGUCCCGUAACGAGCGCAACCCCUAUUGUUAGUUACCAUCAUUAAGUUGGGGACUCUUACGAUACAGCUAGUGUAAGUUAGAGGAAGGUGGGGAUGACGUCAAAUCAUCAUGCCCCUUAUGAGUUGGGCUACACACGUACUACAAUGGCAGGUACAACGGGGAAGCGAAGCCGCGAGGUGGAGCCAAUCCUAUAAAGCCUGUCUAAGUUCGGAUAGCAGUGUGCAACUCGACUGCUUGAAGGAGGAUUCGCUAGUAAUCGCAGAUCAGCAUGCUGCGGUGAAUACGUCCUCGGGUCUUGUACACACCGCCCGUCA